GCAUAUCAAUAAGCGGAGGAAAGAAACCAACCGGGAUUACCUCAGUAACGGCGAGUGAAGCGGUAACAGCUCAAAUUUGAAAUCUGGCUCUUGCGGAGUCCGAGUUGUAAUUUGUAGAAGAUGCUUUGGGUUGUGGGUUCGGCCUAAGUUCCUUGGAACAGGACGUCAUAGAGGGUGAGAAUCCCGUAUGUGGCCGAGGCCCGCGCCUAUGUAAAGCUCUUUCAACGAGUCGAGUUGUUUGGGAAUGCAGCUCAAAAUGGGUGGUAAAUUUCAUCUAAAGCUAAAUAUGGGCCAGAGACCGAUAGCGCACAAGUAGAGUGAUCGAAAGAUGAAAAGCACUUUGGAUAGAGAGUUAAACAGUACGUGAAAUUGUUGAAAGGGAAGCGCUUGCAACCAGACUUGGGCGCUGCCGAUCACCUUGAGUUUUCUCGAGUGCACUCGACAGCGCACAGGCCAGCAUCGGUUCGGGUGGCUGGAGGAAGGCCGUAGGAAUGUGGCUCUCUUCGGGGAGUGUUAUAGCCUACGGUGCCAUGCAGCCCAGCCGGACCGAGGACCGCGCCUUCGGGCUAGGAUGCUGGCGUAAUGGUUGUAAGCGACCCGUCUUGAAACACGGACC
rnacentral:rRNA from 1 species